rnacentral:rRNA from 1 species
GGCCCCUAAUCGGGGUUGCGGACAGUGUCUGGUGGGUAGUUUGACUGGGGCGGUCUCCUCCCAAAGAGUAACGGAGGAGCACGAAGGUUAGCUAAUCCUGGUCGGACAUCAGGAGGUUAGUGCAAUGGUAUAAGCUAGCUUGACUGCGAGCGUGACGGCGCGAGCAGGUGCGAAAGCAGGUCAUAGUGAUCCGGUGGUUCUGAAUGGAAGGGCCAUCGCUCAACGGAUAAAAGGUACUCCGGGGAUAACAGGCUGAU